ACAAGUUCUUUGUGGGAUAUUUUUUUCCCAAAAUACUUGUUUUCUCAGUAUCACAACUAGCAUGAUUCAUCCCUUUUUCUCCCUUAUGUUUAACUUUACCGGGGAUCUAACCUUGCUGAAUGUUUUAUGAUUCACUCGACAUAACCUAAUUGGAAAUGUCCAAAUAUCAUAGGGUACACAAAUCAAUUGGAACGCAAAUGAUAAUAAAUAGGCUAAUCUAUUUGUUCAAUUCUCCUAAUUUCCUAAAUGACACAAAUCUAUUGGAAAGCUUCGUUUCCAUAUCAAUCAUACUCAUUCUACAAUAAACACUUCAGAAAAAUAUAAAGAACUAAUCAAACUUCUGUGACCCCAUUUGCGCAAAAUGGUUUUUUCUUUCCGAAAAUAGGAACAUUUUGAAAUAGCGCGGGAAAUGCAUAUUGCAUACAGGGUGCCACUUCGUAUUGCAUGACACGUUGAACAUUUUUAGGAAGAAACACGUUUCCUUAACUGAUGACCAUGACCUAAACCAAUAUCUCAUAUAUUUCAUUUUCAGUUUCAGAAACAUGAUCUCCCAUUAAAAUCACAUUUGAACUGCGACGACCCCUAGCAUUCCUCAAAAACAUGCUGUUCUAGCCUAAUACACAUGCUUAUCGAAGGAACAGUUUCAGAAAUCUACCCACCAAACAACUCCUUACUCCUCAUCAUCAAUUUAAUCCACAAAACUCCCAAAGUAUUUAUCUUUUCUUAUUCCUUUUCAAUAAAGUCACACUCAUAACAACUAAUUUCCUGAAAGAAAAAAAUUCCUUUACACAUACAGAAACUGGAACAAUUCCAAACACAGACCGUUAUCGAUUUCAAGUACAUAAAAGCAUUUUAUGCAAAGACUACAAGAAAUUCAUCACCAACAUGCAAAUAUAUAACAAGCAAUUCUGUAGAUACACACACACAGACAUAUAGAUACACUUAUAUACAUAUGUGCAUAUGUGUGCGUGAAAAAUCAUACAUGCAAUUGCCGAUCUGAGCCCCCAAAAAAUGUAUAAAAUUAACUGAAAAUUGCUGUGCAAAAAUUCGACUUUAUAUGUGUAAAAUUGAUAUGUCCAGAGAUAUAAAUACAUAAACUUUAUGUAUCUGUGAAAGGAGAUGUGUGUUAGUAUACCAAGACGGCGGUGGGGAAGCCAUUGGAGAGAGGUAGGAGAUUUGCACGGCGUCGCAACGGGGAGGUUCUUCGGGUCUCUGCCGCUUCCUGCGCUUAAGCUGAGAGAGAGGUGCUACUCGGACUAAAGAAAAUGAGGUGCUUUAUAUAGGCUAGGGUAAUCGGGUGCAAAGAGGUGCACCGUAAACAAAAAACUGUUGUUUUUUAGGGGGGUACGUGUAAAUUGUAGACAUCGUAAUAUUAUAUUAAAUGAUAUUUUUUUUAGUAACAAUCAUGUUACCACCAUAAAUAUUUCCAAGUGUAUUUAUAGGACGACACAAAGUCAACAAGGCUUCCCGCUUUGUGAGGAUCAGAAUAACAAACGUCUAUUUUACGCAGCUUAAAUUCUUGAUUACAAAGAGUAACUUUUUCGUUGCAGCAAGGCUGUUUCCAAGUGUUUUGAUUAAUUUAUGAUAUUUUGACUUGCAUUUAAGUGUGCUUCGUAACAAUAAGCUUUCUUAAUACCGUACAAAUCAUUCGUCGAGUUUGUAUCGAGUUAGUAUCACUCAUGCGUUGAAAAAAAAACUCUCAUUAAUAUCUUUGUUGUUAUCAAUAAAGUCUAAACCAAACAUUUUAUCUGAAUUCACAUUUCGAUGCAAAUUAUCCAUUAAAGCUUUUUGAAGACUUACAUAGUGGUUUUUAGCCCAUUUUUUAUUUUUACAAAUCAACAAAUCAAAAGAGAUUGCCGGCUGCAGGACUCAAAGGCCUUGAUUCAACGUAGAGAACAAUCCUUACGAACUCAACUAACCUUCGCUAAAAGGGUUAGUUACUUCUUUGUCGUUGAAUAAUUGUACAAAUUUAUUGGUUUAGUGGUACAUAUAUAUGUUUUCACAAACCAUGGAUAUCAUUGAAUGCUUCUUACUCAUCUACUCUUCUUAUUACAACCUUACAGUUGAAAAUGUUUCACUCGCAUAAAUUUUUGUGAACCUUAACACUGUUGCGUGAUGAUCAUUACCCGAGUUAUAAUAUGAGUAAAAUCAAAUACCACGUGACUCGAAUGCUAGUCCGAGUUAUAAUACGAGUGAGGUGUUUCGAAUAGACAUAAAAAAUUACACCUUAUUGCUUUGGGGUGUGUGGAUCCUCAUUGCUUUGGAUUGUGAUAUCCACACACCUCAUUUUACUUCUCACACACCUUUUUAAUUUUCGACCGUCGGAUCGGAUGAAUUGAAGAAGAUCAAUGGACAUAAUUAUCAAGGGGUGUGUGAGAAGUAAAAUGGGGUGUGUGGAUAGCACACCCACACACCCCUAUUGCUUUUCUUGAAUUGCUAUUGCCGCCUACUAUCCCUACCUGAACAUAAAACACCAUUUAUUUACAGCACGGGAUAUUUAAAAUGUCUUCUUUACAAGAAAAACUUCCAUGUCACAGGUUUCAUACCUCCUCCGUUUCUCUCUCUCUGCAGAGAAAAGGAGGGGGUAUGAAACUGAUAUAGCUAAGUUUUCCUCCUCAACUGGAGGUUCCCAAAGUGAUUUUAAUCAAAACCAUGUGGAGUACCUCUAUCUGAACUGCAACUGAAUCAAUUGAAACAUAUUUUUCGCAAAAGGGGAUUCAAAUUUAUGAACAAAAGGGUAAAUUCAACUGCCCAAGUACGCAAAAAUAGUCAACAAAUGAAACCAGAAGUUCCAUUACACCCUUCAGGAUCUUAUCACAUCACAAGAAAUGUAUGAUAAAUGAUAAAGGACGACUUCGAGCCAACAAGGCACCCCCCUUUGCAAGGGUCGGAGGAGGGGGGAUGUCAACAAAUACUAGCUAAAUCGUUGAAAACAGCAUAUAUGCUAGUCAUGUUCUUUCUUUUUUUACUGUAAAAGGGUAGAGAAAAAUCAGUUCACAACUGCAUCAUCGUCAACAAUAUUGUUUUACAGCGAAGAAUCUACGAGACAGAUACCAGAUGUUAAGCAUAAAGGUAAGAAAUUGCAUUAUAAUUACAAAACCUCCCAGAGUUUGAACACAUUAAGAUCACCACUUUGCUUUUUUCUCAGCUUUCAGUCACAAGCCUGGAGAACAAAAACGAAGGAACUUACAGGUUUCCGCUUCCAUGUUGUGCCCACUAAUGAUCUGAUGGCGACUGCUGCUGGUCUGGAGCCUGCUGCCACAUUGGCUGAGUCAUGUAGGGGUUAGACUGCUGAGCAUACAUAGACGGAUCCAUCAUAGGCUUACCCAUCAUCAUUCCAGGAGCCCCCACCUGAGGUGCGUGCUGAGGUGGCAUAUAGCAGUAUGGAAGUGCAUCGGCAGGCCCCCCAACAGAAACUGUACCCCUCGGAAUUGACCCAAGGACUUCAUCUUUCAGAUCCUCCCUUGGGACAAUGUCUACCAAGAAAUCAAAGAUAUCAGUCCUUGUGAUUGCAGCUGCAAUGUCAUUCUUCUGGAGUGUCCUCCGCUUGUCUCUUCCGUGUGAUUCCAAGACCUCAAUGUCAAUUCCAAUAUGAACAUUUCACAUGCCCUGGCAAAUAUCACAGGUGCCUCGGCUGAUAUCAUUCUCACAUCCUCAUCGGCCUUCAUAAUCUUCUUGAUCCUUGCCAAGGGAAGGCUAUGGUUCUUGAAAUCAGUGACCUUGUCGAUUUCUUGAUACUGGUUUGCCCAGAAAGUUUGCAGCUGCUGCUGAAGUUGUUGCUGCUGCUGCUGGUGGAUAUGCUGAUAAGCAAGCUGGUGCUGCGCAAGCUGAGCUCCAGGUGAUUGGCUAGCGGAUUGCAUAGCUCCCACUGUUGCGGAAACUGACCCCGGAUUUGGGCUCCCAACCAUUUGAUUAUGCUGAUAAGGGUUAGAACCGUAAGUCAACUGAGCUCCACUACCUACCAUCCCCAUAGAUUGGGGUUGGUUAUGCCCUUGCGGAUCCAUCCUGGUUGAAUUCUGCAACUCGGCCCUGAUUGAAACAAAGAACGGAAAAGGUGUCUGCUUUAGAAACCUAAUAGUUACUAUAUGCAUUCCUAAAAUACCAAGGGAUCUCCUUUUCACACACAAUGAAUGGUUAAUUCCGACCGAUCCAUCUUGUGCUACGUUGCAGAUAAAUCUAAACAGUUUGUUCUCUCGUUUUUCGUUUUUCCUCUUUAGACAACCAAAUAUUAAGAAUACUAAAACAACAACAAAGCUUUAUCCCAUUAAAUAGGAUCGGCUGUAUGAAUCAUAGAAUAUCAUUGCACUCGGUUAAGCAGGCAUAGCCCUCCUGCAGAAAAACUUAUCAAUUCACUGAAUGAAGGGUCUCUAAAUGCUAUCUUACAACUAAACAUCUACAGAAAAUCAACGAGAUUCGCAUCCCGCCACCUGGUUGCCACUCGAAAUAGUACCCACCUCACAAAAGACAAUUUUUGAUAAUUUGAUUCUCUACUCUGCAGAAAUCAUUCUACCACCACCAGCUUAAUUAAAAUUAUGUUUUAGAGAAAAAAGAAUUAGAAAAACUAAGAAAAUGUGAAUAAAAUUCCAUGAAAACUAUAAUUCGAGGUCGAAACGCUUGAGAUACGAUCAUGCAAUUAAGCCAAAAACAGUUUCCACCAACAAAAAUCAUGCAAAACAGGAUCAAACCCGACAACAAAAUCCAAAAUUCGAUCUCUGACAGAUACCAAAAACAACCGAAAAUUCAAAACUCACAUCCGAAAAACAAAAAUGUUGCAUGGGAAAAGAGCAAAGAUCGCCCAUUUGGCAAUCUAAGAUCAAACCCACCACCCACACGCUUACACACAUAAACGCAGAAAUAUAAAAAAAAAACCCAGAAAACCGUGUGUGGGCGUGGGCGUGGGCGUGUGCGCGUUUCUCUGGUACCUUUUAUCAAACAGGUGGUGGGCGCUGCUACUACGCAGGAUUCGAGAUUACCGAGUACCUGGAAAAAAAAAAAAUCUUCAGAAAAAAAGCGACUCGGAAACAUCCAUCUGGGCAAUGAGAAGAAAGUCCGAAUUUUUUAUAUAUUUUUUUCCGUUUUGGGAAAUUAAUCGUACGAAGAAAGAUCCAGGAUUUCUGGGAGGUUCUUGGGUUUGCAACCACAUUGGAUUAUAGUUUUUUUAUAGUUUUUUUUUUCGUAAAGAUUAAUGAUGUUUUUAGAAGACAAACCUAAAAAAGGAAGAACAAAAGCUGCGAGGGAGUGUUGGAUUCUGACUUAGAUUUGUCAGAAAACAUUGAACUUUUAUGGGAGUUUGGUUUUCUGUUUGACGGUUUUGCCCUUGGUGGAAGUUGGCAUUUUACUAUUAGGGGUAAAUGGUCUUAUGGUUCCGAGUUUUCCGAUGAUACGUGGCGAUGUUCGUUCUACUUAUUUGGAAUUCUGAAAUCAAAUCAUUCGUAACUAAAAUGGAUGUGACCUCAUUAUAAUUUUAAUUAUUGAUUAACACAUAUUAAAUUUAUAAUAAUAAAAUUAAGAAAAGUGAAGUUUAUAAAUAUGUGUCAGUUAAUGAUUGAGGUCACACAUAUGCCCAUUUUGGAUGCAGAAGAUUUGAUCUCUUGAAAUUCUUAUCUGGUCUCUGUGUCAAAAGUUGAUGGACCGGGAGAGUCAAACCACUCAUUUUAAAUUAUGGAGUCUUAACGAAACACUUCUGGUACUGUUCACUUUUAACGUUAAGGACAUUUUUACUCUAAAAAGUCACUCCUGAUAUUAUUCACAUACAACACAUUUUUGUCAUUUUGAUAAAACUCAAAGUUUUCAAACUAUUUUCAUUAGUUUUCUUUUUAAAUUAUGCAAUCCUCAUUAGUCCAUUUCACUACCCUACCCCACAAAACCAAGGAUCCGAAUCUUUCUUUCUCUCUUUUCAAAUGCUCGGAUCUCCGAAUUCUUGGUCACUGAAUACAAAGAUCCAGAGAGAAUCUCAGCUCACUUAUUUAGAAUUGUGAUUGUCACCAGAUCUAUAGAUUCUUAAUUUUACUCUUAAUUUAUUUUUAGGGAUAGGAAAUAAUUAAAUUGGAAUGUUAUCUUAACAAUCUGGAAAGAAGGGAAAGAAUUUGGAUUAGUCUUGAGUAUUAUAUUAGUUGUCAUUUUGAUUUUUUUUCCUAAAAAUUAAAUUGGAAUGUUAUCUUAACAAUCUGGAAAGAAGGGAAAGAAUUUGGAUUAGUCUUGAGUAUUAUAUUAGUUGUCAUUUUGAUUUUUUUUCGUACAAGAAUUUGCGUACGUUAAACUAAAUUUCUACAAGAAUUUGCAUAAGUUAAACUUAAAUUUCUAAUCUCUCUUACUACUUGAAUAAUUGUUUGAGUUCUCCGAGUUUUUACUUUCCAGUGUUUCUAAACACUGGAAUAAAAGUCUUCCAUUCUCGUUUGUCGAGGACGAGCAUGUAGAAUUUCGUUAUCAACCCAUUUUGCAAACCGAAGAAUCACUUAUGGCCUGUUUGGUACUAUACUUGAAUCUAAUUUUUUUAACUCAAAUUUUUUUUUUCAAGUUUUAGGCCUUAAAAACUUGUUUGGUAUGACUAUUUUAAAAAACUGAGUUCAAGACUAACUCAAAAAUAUAGUUUAUUCUUUAAAAACAUAAAAAAUGAGUUUUUAGAGUUUUUAGAGUUUUUAAAGUUUUUAAACUUAAACUCACUCAUUUCUUUUUUCUCCUUCCUCCCCUCUCACUCUAAAUCUAUCUCUCUAUUUUCUUCUUUCUUUCUCUUUUUUUUUUUACCUUUUUCGUCUCUCCUCCAAUCCAAUCAAGUUUAAGUCAUAAGAUUUAAAAUUUUUAAAUCGCAAACCAAUCAAGUUUUUGAGUUUUAAAGAAAAUUGUUUUCAGGAAAUGUUCUUAAGAAAUGUUUUGAGAAAUGAUAAAAAAUUUCAAAUAGGAUACCAAAUAGGCUCUUAAAAAUUCAAUCUUUUUUGACCAUUAAUGUGAAUCUUAUUGCUAUCAUUCAAUUUAUUUAAUUACAACUCUGAUGGGUUAAUUGGGGUGGAAUCUUGGUGAACCAUAUUCGACUCCUCUACAAACGGCUAUGGGCGAUAAAUGAAGUUUGUUAUCGUGGGACGAGCUGUAAACUUAAACAUUAGUUGGUCAUCUCAAUAGCUUUGCGAGUUUUGAUUUACUCGUUGCACAAGUUGUGGAGCUGGUUCAUGUGACCGAAUCUUAUUUUAUUUUCUUUAGUGUACACCAACUUUAAAGUUGCUAAUUAGCAACUUAUGUUUGAUAUAACAAAAACUAACAUAAUUUAAUUGAGUUUGACAUCCCAAACAAGUGAGGAAUGUUGGUUUGAAACUAGCUAUUUUUCGAAAAUGUAUUUCAAUUUUUAUUCAUGGCCUUGCAAAAGCAUGCUUUACAACUUUUAUAUUUGAUGGGUUUUCUUUUCUUUUUUCUAAGAUAACAACUGUAAUUUGCUUUUAUUUUUCGUAACACAUGGAGGAUAAAAAGAAAAAGUAGUUGUAGUACAAAAAAGAAAAAGAAAAGGAAAAAAAAAGUACUUUAUAUCUUUCAGUUUGACUAUAGAAUGGGCCCCUGAACUUACACCUUAGUUUAUAUUUGAUCCAUGAACUAAAUUUCCGUUAAUUUACAUCAUAGAAUUUUGUCAAUGUGGAGAAUUAGUCCCUCCAUCCUAACUCUGUAAAUUAACGGAAAUUCAGUUUAGAAACUAAAUCUAAACAAAGACGAAAGUUCAGGAACCAACACUAGAGUUUACUCUUAUAUCUUUUAUGGGAAAUUUCCUUUUAGAGUCUCGAGGUUCCUAUGUUUAUUUUAUAAAGUACAAUUCUAUGAAACUAGUACAAUAUAUAUCAACAUUGGUUUUUCAUAAACCAAAAAUCCCAAAUAAUGUGAUUAGCAAGUGUUGGACAUUAAUAAUUUAAUUAUUAAGUAUUAAGGGUAAACCAAACCCAAUUAGCAUAAGUUUAAGUUCCCUAAAACUUGAAUUUAUGGUGAUUGUGACCAUGACCUUCAUUUGAAGGACCACUUCAGAUUCACAUGAUCAGAUCGAACCCACCACAUGUAUGGAGUCAUGGACCACUUCACUUUUGAUUGAAACUUCGCUUUGAAAUCCUACUUCAUUACCUUCCUAGUAAGGAUUUUGCUAGAUUCAGUUGUCAGACGCGUGUGAUUGUUGAUGUCCGUAGAUACAUUGUGAGAUCUACUUAAAUAUAGUGUCAUCGAUCAAUCAUGUGUCUGACACGGUUGUUGGUUGUGAAUGAAUUAUAAGGGAUGAGAUCAUCUUUGGAUCUCUACCCUAAAACUGACGGAUCCAGAAAUCUGAACCAUUUAAUUUAAACUAUGCGGCCCCUUUUAGCACAUCACACUGACCCACCUCACACACAAACCCGCUCCCUUUUCUCUCUCACUCAUGACUCAAAUUUUAGGAUUUGUCUGCUCUAGAGGCAUAGAUCCGUAGAUGAUCUCAUUCUGAAUUAUAAGACACACUUAGGUGUACAAGACUAAAGUGAACACACUGUUUUUUAGUUUUUUUUUUUUUUUUUUUUUUUUUUUUUUUUUUUGGGCGGGGGCGGUGUUGGCCAAAGCCAUUGCAAAGCCUUUGGCGUUGUUUUCCAUCUAUGCAUCUAUUUCUUUGUACAUUUCACUCUUGCAGUAAAAGCCUAGUUUUUCAAUAAGACGAUUAUAUAAACUACUCUAAUCUAUAAAGAAAAGGACGAGGACUUGAACUCUGGUUAAAAAUGGGCUAGCAUUCGAACUCGGGCAUUUCACUCUGCAGUAAAAGUUAUAGUUCAAGCUAUCAGGUGUUUAGAUGAUUCAUGAACAUGAUUCUGAAUUCCAAAGGUCAAAAAGUAAUAAGGGCAUAUAUGGAAGAUCAAAAGCUAGAAAAUUAAGUAUUAAAACAUGAAAAGGCAUGUGGAAAGUAAAUAUGGGAAAGUGAAUAACGCAACCCUUCUAGUAGUCCAAAGAAUUUCAUCUAUCUGCCUAUCCGGUGUGAAAACAAUAAAAAUACCUAUAAACUGCAUGACACUUACAUCCGGGGAGUAAAAACUUGAAAGAGGGUGGAUGAUUCUUCCAAUAUGCAAUGUCCUUAUUGAUCCAUCAAUUAUUUCUUAAAUUGUCAGUGAAUGAUGCUUGUAUAAUAUGCACAAUCGAUCCAGGUUAGAGCUGGCAUGAUUAAGCUUGAGAUACGUUGUAGCUCUAUACCGUCCCUGGCUUCUUAGAUUUUCCGAUGGCAGAUCCAACCUAAAUGAACUUGGAAUCACCCUGAAAACUUGGCGAGCGAUUACCAAACUAACUGCCAUAAAAAUAACAUAGAGACCAACUAGGCAAAUGCAUAAGUUAAUUUACAUAUUUCGCCUUGACUAUAGAAUCUGUCCCUGAACUUACACCUUAAUUUAGAUUUGAUUUAUGAACUAAAUUUCCGUUAAUUUACAUCAUUGAAUUUUUGUCAAUGUGGAGAAUUAGUCUCUCCAUCCUAACUUUAUAAAUUAACGGAAAUUUAGUUUAGAAACUAAAUCUAAACAAAGAUGAAAGUUCAGGAACCAAUACUAGAGUUUACUAUUAUAUCUUUUAUGGAAAAUUUCCUUUUAGAGUCACGAAGUUCUUACUUUUUCUUAUAAAGUAAAAUUCUAUGAAACUAGUCAACAUGUAUCGACAUUGGUUUUUCAUAAACCAAAAAUCCUUUGGUCCCAAAUAAUGUGAUUAGCAAGUGUUGGACAUUAAUAAUUUAAUUAUUAAGACCUAUUAAGGGUAAAUCAAACCCAAUUAGCAUAAGUUUAUGUUCCCUAAAACUUGAAUGUAUGUUGAUUGUGACCUUGACCUUCAUCUGAAGGACCACUUCAGAUUCACAUGAUCAGAUCGAACCCACCACAUGUAUGGAGUCAUGGACCACUUCACUUUGAAAUCCUACGUCAUUACCAUCCUAGUAAAAAUUUUGCUAGGUUCAGCUGUCGAACGCGUGUGAUUGUCGAUGUCCGUAGAUACAUUGUGAGAUAUACUUAAAUAUAGUGUCAUCGAUCAAUCAUGUGUCUGACACGGUUGUUGGUUGUGAAUGAAUUAUAAGGGAUGAGAUCAUCUUUUGAUCUCUGCCCUAGAGCUGACAGAUCCAGAAAUCUGAACCAUUUAAUUUAAACUAUGCGGCCCCUUUUAGCCUAUCACACUGACCCACCUCACACACAAACCCACUCCCUUUUCUCUCUCACUCAUGACUCAGAUUUUAGGAUUUGUGUACUCUAGCGGCAAGGUUCUAAAAACGCUAGGCGUUAGUUGGGCGGCAGGCUAGCGCCUAGGCGGCUAGACGGGAGCUAGGCGGGCGCCUAGGCGGAUUUAGAUAAAUUUCUUGUAUAUCUUGUAAAUAAGUGCAUAUUGACACUUACAAAAAAUUAUACUUGUAUGAAAUCCAUGGAUAAGAUAAUAAAAAAAAUGAUAAAAUGCAAAAAGAGUAUUCAACAAGUCCAAAAUUUAAAAACACAUUAAGCAUAUAUGCCUAUUGACCCUAAAAAACUACCAAGCCUACGUGGCACGCAAGUCAAGUAACUAAUAAGCUAACUACGUCAUUCGGUUGUGUGUAGGCGUGCCAACUCGUCGGCCGAGGAGUAAAUUUGUUGAUGUUGUGUUGGGUGCACUGCUGAUUUUUUGAUCUUGCGACUGUGGCCGAGGAAGGAACACGCCUCGGCCUUCGGGCAGUGUUGUUUAUCCAAACUGAAGGUGCUUCACGGUCGGCUGAUUCUACGGCAACAGUCCAAACUGAAGAUGUGUUGGCGAAAAAGGAAAAUAAAAAUCUCAAGGUUAUUGAGAGGUUUCGCGUAGAGCGAGGGUUUGCGCAUGGCAGUUUGUGUGUUGAGUUGGAGAAUCUUCUUCCAUUGCCACUGCCUCUAUAUUUAUAGGGACAUAUGCGCGUUGGUUGAUAAGCCAAUAUAGGCUUCUACCAUGUACUAGAACUCUUCCACUAAUCGCGUCAGAUAAGCCUUAUAUUCCCAAGACUCUGAACUUAGUAAAAAAUACAACCAAAUUCAACCCGUGCUCAGCCUUAUCACAUCGAGUCCCAAAAUAAACUGCACGCCUGGAGAUGAACAUCUAAACAACCACCAAUUAUAUAUAUACAUACUUCCUCACCAUUAAGAAAAACUUUUUUUUUCCUUAUCCUUCACAGGCCUCCAAAGAACCGUGCCCUCACAUCAAUGUUUUCCCUCUUUAUUUCCACCAUUUGUAAAAUCCUUUCCCAUACGUAUAUGCAUGCGCUGACUUAAUGAAUUGCAAAUGAACUACAAUUCUUCCACCAAUAUGUAUCUGUGAAGAGAAGGACAAAGAUAGGGCCAGGAUUUAAAACCACACUAUAUCUUUUAAUAAUAGCAAAAUUAUCUUCACCUUUCAUCCGACGGUGUAAAGCUAUGCUCACUCAACAGCCUUGAUUGCAUGGGCCGACGGUGUAAAUUUGGGUCCAAACAAUGCCAUAUAACCAUAGUGAGGAGUAUUGUAGGAUGACAAAUGUACAACAAGUUCACAAUUUUCAACCACUUAGACUUAGAUAGGAUUUUUUAUUUUAUUUUUUAAUUUCAUGAAAAAAAAAACCACCUAGCCCCGCCUAGCCCCGCCUACCCUGCCUAGGCGGCCGCCUAGAGCCAAUCUAAUUUUUCCAACCGAUUUGCAAGAAAACGCCUCGGCUCACCACCGCCUAGGCCGUUUUUUAAAACAAUGUCUAGAGGCAUAGAUUCGUAGAUGAUCUCAUUCUGAAUUAUAAGACACACUUAGGUGUACAAGACUAAAGUGAACACACUGUUUUUUAGUUUUUUUUUUUUUUUUUGCGGUUGGCCAAAGCCUUUGGCAUUGUUUUCCAUCUAUGCAUCUAUUUCUUUGUACAUUUCACUCUGCAGUUAAAGCCUAUUUUGUCAAUAAAGCGAUUAUAUAAACUACUCUAAUCUAUGAAGAAGAGGACGAGGACUUGAACUCUGGUAAAAAUGGGCUGGCAUUCGAACUCGAGGCAUUUCACUCUGCAGUAAAAGUUAUAGUUCAAGCUAUCAAGUGUUGAGAUGAUUCAUGAACAUGAUUCUGAAUUCCAAAGGUCAAAAAGCAGCAAGGGCAUAUAUGGAAGAUCAAACGCUAGAAGAUUAAAGUAUUAAAACAUGAAAAGGGAGUGUGGGAAGUAAAUAUGGGUGAGUGAAUAGCACAACCCUUCUAGUAGUCCAAAGAAUUUCAUCUAUCUGCCUAUCCGGUGUGAAAACAAUAAAAAUACCUAGAAGCUGCAUAUCACUUACAUCCGGGGAGUAAAAACUUGAAAGAGGGUGGAUGAUUCUUCCAAUAUGCAAUGUCCUUCUUGAUCCGUCAAUUCUUUCUUAAAUUGUCAAUGAAUGAUGCUUGUAUAAUGUGCACAAUCCAUCCGGGUUAGAGCUGGCAUGAUCAAGCUUGAGAUACGUUGUAGCUCUAUACCAUCCCUGGUUUGGAUUUUCCGAUGGCAGAUCCAACCUAAAUGAACUUGGAAUCACCCUGAAAACUUGGCGAUUACCAAACUAACUGCCAUAAAAAUAACAUAGAGACCAACUAGGCAGAAACCCCAGAACCUAGGCACCCGGAAUGUAAUCACCAAUAGAGACCCCAUCAGGCUCAGAAGCAAGAAAACAAAUGCAAUCACUAUACCCACGUGGAACUGAAGCUCGUACACCUCGGGAUAAACAUUGUAUGUCUGUAUAACCAAAGCUGUUCCAAGUCCAACAAGCAUGUUAAACUUUGGCCCAGCAAAACACCCAGCCAUGGCCAUUGCAGGGUGGCCUGCCUUGGCAACGGUGACAUCAGCAACAAGAUCCCCCACCGAAUUCCCCCAUGCAAGAACUGUGAGCCCCAGAAGUGCAGGUGGCAACUCCAGAAGUGUUCCAAGAGCAGCAAGGCAGUUCAGCAAUUCUCCGGCAGUAGUGGAUAUCCAAAAGACGCUCAUUACAAAUGCUAUAAGCAAUACGGGUAGUUGCUCAGUUUUGGGGGGCUCUUUUUCCACUGCAUAAUGAAGAAGUGCAAGAGAGGAGGUUGCCAAGAGGAUUACAAACCAUAGAGGCAAAUGGGUGUCGGAAAGGAGAAAAACAACAGGAUGAUGGAAUGGUAUGAACGAAUUGCAAGCAUAUAGAAGUGCUAGAGGGCAAAGAGCAAUAUUGGCUGAUGAGUAGAAUCUGCUCCAUUCAGAAGGUGCAGCUUGAGGAAUUGUGAGCUUCAGAAGAAUUGAGACUGGAAGCUCCCAUGCUUUUGAGAUCUGCAUACAAAAUGAAGAGAGUUAACAAAUGUCUGAAAUGAGCUAAUAAAAUUGUAUAGGUGAAAAAUGAGCUCAAUCAGUAUAUAAAGUUCCACACUUUCUCCCGGUUCAUGCUUCUAAAAUUUAUAUCACACAACAAUCAGGUAUCUCCAGUUAAGGUUAUCCUUGCUCAUAGAUUGAAGUUUCCUAAUUCUGUGCAUUGUAAUUGAUAUAUAAGCGAAUUCCAACUCUCGAAGAUCUCCACUUCUGGCUAAUGUCAUCCAUUUCAUAUGCCCAAAGUUUUUCAUCUCAAGGACUUUAGGCACGAAAACUUUCACCUACAUUCAGCUACCGAAAUUAUUUGGUCCAAUGUGCUUUAGGAACAAAACCAUCAGAACAUAUAAACCAAAGUGCUGAGCUACUUAGCAAGCUGUAUAGAUUGAUACUACAACCAAAAUUCCUCUAUUAGGUAGCUCUUCUCAGAGCAGUACAACCAACCAACAACGGAAAUUCUGAUCGAAUUCUCGAAAACAUGUAACAAACCAUUGACACUAAUUCUAAACUCUGAUACAGAUACAAUCAUACAAUUGCAUACAAUGCACAAUCCACCUAAACUUUUGCAGAACAAACACAAAAAAAAAAGAACACAAGUUCAUCUGAAACAUACCAUUCCAAGAGCUCUCCGAAACCUGAAACUCCGCUUAACAUGCCCGAUUCCGGCAUCCGGGACAACCAAACCCCUCUGCAUUUCACAAUCUCCGACCAAUCCCACCUCAACCCUGCUCUUCUUUCCUCCUCCGCCCAACCCCAAAUCCAUCCAAAACACCAACCCAACAAAAAGCAAGUAAAACCCAACAAACGCAACCGCCUGCCACAGAUAAAUCUCGGCGCUGAGAUACACAUAGAACAAGAACAGCGCCGCCGUCAGAUAAAACAGCACGUCCCUCACAAACGGCACCGGAUUGAGCGAAAAGGGCGCGGCGUAAAUCGCCACAAACCCCACAACGAACGCCGACACGAACGUGCCGGCGGACAGAAUUGCGACGAACCCAGUUCGGUACUGGCCCGUCCGGACCGCCGCAACCGACGCGAAGACGUCGGGGGCGCCGUUGCCGAGUGCGAGGAGGGUGACGGCGGCCAUGCUGGGUGUCAAAUCGAGGGAAGAGACGAGCUUUGUGGUGACGAGAGAGAAGUGAUCCUGGAUGAGAGAGAGGGAGGAGAGAGACAGUAAUGGGUUUUGGCGGAAGAGGCAGAAGUGGAGGUAGAGGUAGUUGAAGAGGCCAUUGGAGUGGCCGGUGGAGGAGCAGGGUGGAGUUUUUGCUGCGGUGGUGAUGAGGGACCUGUGGAGGGUUACGGGAGCUAGGGAGGGCUAGUUUGGGGCAUCGGGAGUUGGGGUAGUGAGGAGGAAGAAGAGAAAGGAGGAGAGGAGUGAGACAGAGAGAGAGAGAGAAUGCAGGUUUUGAAAGAGGAGGAGAGAGAGAUGGCCAUGCCAUUUAGCAAGCUGAAAGCUCCAAUCUUUGCGUCAAGUUUUUGGUGAGAGUGUGAGAGAGUCAGAAUUUUUGAAUUUUUGGAUCCAACUGAUUGAGUGGUUACCUGCCUCUACAAUGUGUAUUUGAACUCUGUUCAAUCCAUUUAACUCCAAAAAGAUAACUCUUCCGUUGCAAGAAACCCUUGAACUGUUUUUUCAAAAAUACUUUCAUUUGCUUUCAAUCAUUUUUAAAGCAAACGAGUCUAUUGUUCAAAAAUGUAAUUAUGCAAUUUAGAAGUAGGAUUUUAAGAGAAUUUUGGAUAUUUAAUCCUUUAUGACUUGUAUUACUUGUGAAACAAGUGAAGCCCACUUGAUAAGGUAUAAGUCCACCAAAAAGCAUAAGUAAAAGAGUAAUGCUACACUUAUCACCUAUUUGUAUCUUCAUUUGUAUCAUAUCUCUAAUAGAGAUAGGGUCCACCAACGCAUGUGAGCCUCAUUUUUAUUAGAUACAUGAUACAACUAGAUGGUAAAAGUAGCAUUUUUGUAAGUAAAUAUAUAACCGCUGAACUCUCCUUUCUCUCUCCCUCACCAUCCCGAUUCCUGGAGAGAUUUUUGAGUGUGACCGACAUAUAAAGUGGUACCCCACGUGUUACAAUACAAAUGAUGGGAUAUGUGUGUUAAAAAGUUAAUAACUUAAAAAGUAAAAUUUCCCACCACUUACAUAAAAACACGUGGUGUACCACCCGUGUUCUCGUCACAAUAAAAAAUUUCUCCAAUUCUCACUCCUAUCCUCCCUCCCAAAAUUUUCCUUCAACAAAUUGACAAAUUUCGUUUUUCUUUUACCAAAAGAGAAAAAAAUGGGUAAUUUGUAUGGUGUAAUUUUAAGCAAAAUCAUGAAAUAUUUUGUUAUCUUCAAAUUUCAUUUCAUUCCCAGAAAAUUGGGCAGAGAUGUUGAAUGUAACAGAGAUAUCUCAUGUUCCAAUAGCACUCAGCACGUGAUUACAAUUUAGAGAAAAUAAUAAAAUCUCGAGAUUGUAAUUAAGUAGUUUUUUCGCCUUGGGACAUUAUUCAUAAAAUAAUCACAAUUAAUUGAACAUAUACAAUAGAAUUCAUUAAAUUUUCUCUAUUAUCAAAAUUCAAAAAACCAGUUACAAGCAUGAUCAUCUUUGUAUCAUAACCAGCUACACAUAUAAUGUACAAACUUACCCAAAAAUCCAUGGCUAAGAACACCAAAUGCAUCUCAAGAAAUCAUAAUAAAAUUAAUCAGAAUUCAUAAAAUUUAAUUAGUUACAAGAGUUUGUGAUCGUAGUGGUAGACGAGAAAUUUUUCAGUAUGCCAGUAACAUGGGCUGGUGCACUAAGUGUCAUAAUACAAGUAGUUGGAAAAAAAAUUUGUUUAAGUAUCCAACCACUUGUAUUAUAACACUUAUUUUUUUUUAUCAAAAUUGUAUUAUAACACUUGCUAUAUUGAAUCAUGUUCCGGGCACAUUGAAAAACUCAUCAUCAUGACAACCCAGCUACAUAUAUCUGUUAAAAGUGGAAUAAAACUAAAAAUUAAAGCAAUUAAGAUUAUUUAACCUUCACCUCCGGCGGUAUGUCCUCACAGUCUUCGGGAAUUCCAUCAAAGAACCUAUACAAAAGCCGAUGUUUCUCUUGCUCCAGUAAAUCCAGGUCGGGAAUCUCCCCGGGAAUGUCCCACAAAACCUCAACAACCUCCUUCGUUGUCUUCUUCUUCGUCUCCGUCUCCUUCGUCUCCUUUUUACCUGCCGUUGAUGAAGUCGACGAUGGUUUUUUUACCUUUUCACCGCAAGAAGAUGAGCCAAUUUCUUUCUUAAUAACAAUCUUCUCACCAACAAGUUCUUCCUCAGUUUUCUGAUCUUUUUUAAUCUUCCUUCUUGUUUUUGUAAUCGUUUCUUGCGUCUUACGCCUCUUUGUAUUAGGGUUUUUCCCCAGUAUCUUUAUCUCGUGAACGAUCUCAACUUCUUUUCGUUUACGACCAUUAGUAACUGGUGGGGUGUGAUCAUCAUCACUCGAAGACUCCGUGGCAUCCGGGUCCAAAAAGCGGACGCGAACCACCUCCAAGCUCGGCUUCUCCUUUUCAGGUCCUUGUAAUGCUGACGCCGCUGCUACCUUUUCUUGUUUUCUCUUCUGUCCGUGGCAGGCGGGUUUUGAGGGUGGUGGUUUGGGUCGAACGCUGUAGUCACUUUUGGUGCCGUCGUUGGUGGUGAUGUUGAGCGGCUGUGGAGGGGCACUGGGAGGGGAGAGAGCAAGUGCUACUUCUUCCGUCUUCUCUCUUGUGCCUGCCCUGUCGGUAGUGGUAGCGGUGGUGGUGGUCUGGAGCUGUGGUGGAGGGGCGCACUGAUCAAGCACUGCCUCUUUCGACUUCUCUCCUACCUGACAUUUUGGUGGUGGUGGUUUGGAGAUGCCGCGGAGGAAAGGUAUUGGGAGCGGCGAGAGCAAGCACGACUUGUCUCAGCAGCAUCUCUCUCGUUUUUCGCUUUCUCGAACCGGAGUUGCUUGAAUCCUCCAUGAGUCCUGAGUGCUUCGUUUCACAAAGCAUAUGAAAAAAUAUCAAUGUUAGAGAGAGAACGAAGAGAGAGAGAGAGAGAGAGAGAGAGAGAGAGAGAGAGAGAGAGAGUACGUACGUAGCAAGAGUAGUGAAGAAAAGUGGAAUUGGGCUACAAAGAACCAGUGUAUAUGUGUAUUUAUAGGGAUUGUAACUUAAACGGUGCAAUUUCCCCAAACCCGUGCUUUAAUUUAAUUCAAAAGGAUUAAGGAUUAGGAGAGAGUAAAUUAGGGAUUAGGGGUUUCCAAAUCCAAGUAGGUAAGGGGUUUACUUCCUUGCGCCCAAAGGACAAUAUCUUCAAACGUUAGGGUUCUACUAGCAGUCUAGCACGCAGAGGAAACAAGAUCUAGAGUGAGAAACUAGACAGAGUGUGUGGACUUGGUUGACAAGUAGCAAGUCUCUGUAUUUUUAUAGGGAUUUGAUCGUAAUGAUCUAAGAUCGCCAACGGGAAUUUUUGCCCUCCAUUUAUUUAUUCUGAAGACAAACGUAAACUUGAAUUUGUCCAAAAUAACUUCUCUUUUAGAAAUGAAAGAGAAAGAAAGAUAUACGAGCAGGAUCAUCGUUAGGCAUCGACAACUCUUUUAACUCUUCAGUAUUUAGUUACCAUUUUUCUCUCCAUCUUCGUCACCAUGCAGGAAGGAACAAGUAGGGAUAUCUUGCAUCGAUGCUCUACAUCUCUCUCUCUCAACCCCAACUCACGCACUGCCAACCACCGCCGGCUCUGCCUCUUCGUCGGAUCUCCGAUUAUCCCUCCACUCCCUUCCCUCUCCCCCAGUCCAAUAAACCAAAAAAAUCCGAGGAUUGGUUUGGUUCUCACAAAUUUGUAUAAAGUGUCGUUUGAUAAACUAUUAUUUUUAUUCUUUUUUUUAUUUUUAUUUUUAUUUUAAAUUAAAAACUUGUUUAGUAAUUAUUUUCAGAGCUAUUCUCGUGCACAUUUGGAAUUCGGCUUAUUUUUAGUUUUCAGAUUCUGGAGAAAUGAAAAUUUAUUUCGUAUCUAUAUUCAAACAGCCCUUAGUAAUUUGUACCUAAAUCAAACAAACUAUAAGGGCGAAAGUGGAAAACUCAAAGUUCUGGGUGUUGGGUCCACAUAAGUGUUUUUUUUUUGUAAUAAAAGAGAACUGUUAUUAACACUUUAAAAUUUUCAUUCUACAAUCAUUUAUUUUUCUUUCUAUCUAUAGAAAAUUUGGAGUGUAAAAUGAGAUUUUUGGAGUGCCAAUAACAUUUCCCUAUCUAAACGGUAAGUUAGGUAGACCAAAUUUUUAAAACAAAUUUUCAAACCAAAUGACGUGUCACCAAUUGGAAAUAAGCUUGUUAAUUAACACUUAAGUAAUAAUUCUUCCUUCAUGGCCAAACGCAUUUGGGCCGAUUCUUCUUCCCGACGACAUUGGUUUUCAUUCAUUCUUGCCAUUUCGCUAGCAAAUUGUGCACGUAUCUGAUCUUGGGACUUUCCUUUUCUCUUUGCUUCAUUUUGCUUAUCUCUACCCGGGGGCCUUGCAAAAGAAGGAGUUGGGUUCAUUUGUUUGACACCUUCAUUGUCGGCAAAAUUCACACCUUCAUUGACAUCAUUUGGGGGUGGGGCUUCACUAUGAAAUAAUCUUCCACAUUGUUGGUUCGCAUCGGUUCCCCAUGACACGCCCCGACCCUGAUAUUCCUCGAAUAUCAGGAUAGGCACGUGCUGGCCGACACCUGAGGGUGACGAAAGCCACUAAUUGAUACAAAAGCUAAGAAUAAGAAGUAAAUAAGGGUUAUGAAAUUUAAAUACAAAGAAUUAAUAAUUUAGGAACGUGCUCAGAGUAUACAACUAAACCUAAUCACUAAAAAGAAUUAAGAUAAAAUUGAAUGAAUAAAGAAGUGAGUCCUACAGUCGAGAGGAUCCGGAGAUGCUGCUGCGGAAGUGCCUUGACGUCAGGAUUAGGUGCCUUGAUUCUAAGUCCUGAAUGGGGGCGCAAAACAAAGGUGAGUGGACCAAGUUCAUAUGUACGAUAAUAAUGAAACAGUUAUCAAGAUACUAACCCCCAAAGUUUAUAUAAUGAAAACUACUAGCAUAAUAAGUGAUGGAUGAAAUAAAAAUCCUAGCAUGCCAAAUAUCUCAAAAACCAUAUAUAUAGCGAAAUAUCAUUCGCAGAAAUCAGAACAAUAAACGUAUCAUAAAUUGUCUCGUAAACGCGAUGUGCUGCUAGAAAGAUCACUGAAUAAAUAUAACUCCCGGCCCAAUGCCUGCACCUCAGUCUCUGUGCCCGUAGCCAGAGAUAACUCCCUCCCGGCCCAAUGCCUGUCUCCGUGUCCCUCAGCCUUUCGCUAGGGAUUAUUUCUCCCGGCCUACAUGCCAACACCAGAUCCUCGCCCCAGGCGGCAUAGUGUCUACUAGGUACGCACAAAUAUUUACGUCUCUCAUAAAUACCACUUCAUAGCAUAGGUUACCGAAAAUCGUCUACGCUAUAAAGAGGGUUCAAAAUCAUGUUCUAGCAUCCUAUCGUCACCUAUCAGAUAGUCUACCAGAUCAUGGUUUUUAUAGAAAAUAGAUAUAUUAAAAUAUCGCUCAAUAUAGGCUAACAAUUAAUUCUUCACCAAAACACGAGACGAUAAACAAUAUAUUUAAUCAACAGGCUUCACAUAAAUUAAAUUAUAAAUCUGUAGGUAUGCUAAUCAUUUAUGAAAUUAAAUUAUCAAAUCAUGUAAUUUGAUAAGGGGUCCACUCACAAAUAUUCCUUAGCAGGCGAGUUGCGCGAAUAAGGAUUUAGAAUUUCUCCACUAGCAAUUUUACCUAAGAACAAGAAUUGUACAAAUAAUAAAUAAAAGGAUUUUUCUAAAAGAUUGGUUUUGAAUUAAAUUAAAUUAGGGGGUUUGGGAUUGGAUGGGUUUAGGGUUUUUAAUGGGUUUUGGGAACCUAGGGCUUUUGGAUUUAAAAGGGUAUGGAAAGGGGUUUGGGCUUAAGCCCAAACAUAUAAACUUAAACACACACACACACACACACACACACACACACAGGCACAAGGCCCUCGGGCCUCACUAUAGAAAACAGGGCUUUAAGCUUAGGACAUAACCAGCCCUAGGCCAAAACAAAAACUAAGGCCCGAGCCCUUUGGGCUUUAAAAUUUAAAUAACUAAAAAUAAAAACUGAAAGGGUUGGGGUACUGGGUUUAAACAAAACGGGCCGGAGGCCCGCGGGGGAAAUGGGAGAGGCCGGUUGGCCUGUGGCUUGCCGAGAGAGAAGGCCGGAGCUGCUACAGCUCCGGUCACCUGAAAACUGGAGCUUCAAGCUCCGAUCUAGGUACGAACGUGAAGCACAAGGAGAGAGGAAGAGAUUUAUACCUUCCAAAUAUUGUAACUCGGUCGGAGGUGACCGGAAAAGUCCUCGGAGUGCACGGGUUCGCCGGAAAAGUGGGUGUGUUCACCCAAACCGUUUCCAAAGAAAAACCUACGUAAAAUGGAAGGUUUAGACUUCCAAAUCACCACCAAACUUCAAGCUAGGUACGAGAGUGAGAGAUUAGAGGCUUACCCGAACUGAAACAGGAAGAAGACUCGUCGGAGCUUUGCUCCGAGCCGUCUAUCUCGUUGGACAGGGGUCCCCGGGUUCGUGGGGAGUCUCUCCUGAUGGUGCUAAGGUCCUCGCGAGUCCAGGGGGAGGGAGAGAAAGGAGAGUUUGAGGGAGAGAGGGAGAGAGAGCUACGGGGAGAGACAGAACACGAAAAAGAAGAAGAAAUGAGGAAGGGGGGGUUCACGGGGAUAAAAAAAAAAUAAGAGGGGUGGACCCCUUGGCUCACCAAUUAAAAACUUAAAAAAACAUUUUUAAAAAGAAUGGGGGUGGGUUUUAACACCCCAUCUCGAACAAUCUUUGAGAAUGUUCCAAGCAUGAUGCAACUUAAAAGCUUGAUUUUUUGAUGUAGUUCUUGUCUUGUAAAUUGUCAUUGCUUUGUCACCCUAUGCAACAAAUACAUAAAAACAAUUAGUUGCAAAAUCCUAUUAUGUACAUGAUAAAUAAAAUAUCAACAAAGAAACUCACAAUUUUUUAGGCGCCCCUUCCACUAGGCAUGUCAACCAUGACUCUUUCCAAGCUUCCCUUCCACAAAGUGCAUGCUUUGUUGAUAAUCUUCCACCAAUCAUAAACACCACCAACUUCCCUUUGACCGGCGUUGGAGUUUUCAUGGAACUUAUCAACGAUUUUACCCCACAAAACCUUUCUAUUUUGAUUGGUGCCAACGACACCAUCUUCACUAACAGAAAUCCAUGCCAAACAUAAAGCAAUAUCUUCGUCAAAGGUCCAAUUACGACCUCUAACAUGCUCUUUUGCCAUCUUGAAAAAUUUGGAAAUGAGAAGAAAUGAUAGAAAGAAAAAUUGGAAGAAUUGUAGGAGAAAAGUGAGUUUUGUGUAGAUGUUUGAACAAAUACAUAGGUAUUUAUAGAGUUUUGGUUGAAUUUUAAGUUAAAUUAUUUUUUUUAAAUUAUUUUAGCCGUUAGAUUUAAAUUUGGACCGUUAGACCUUUUUCUUUUACCGUUAGAUUUGAUUAUAUUCGAUUAAGCCGUUGGAUUCAAUAAAUAUAUAAAUAUGAAACUAAAAAAAAACCAUUUGAAUGUGGACCGUCAACGGUCCAAUUACCACAGCCGUGUGAUGGAGAAAAUUAGCCGUUGGCUACAUAUUUUCUGACACCCCGGGGGACACACCCACGUGGGUGAGGGUCCACCUCGGCUGAAUGACUUGCGCGUCUGCGCGUGGAGGAAGUGUGGCUGGGCAUUUGGGCUUCACAGCACAAUUUCAGUCUCAUCCAUGGGUCCCACUUCAAUUUGUGGGCUAAAUUUGUGACCGGUAUUUGCCUUUAUUUUAAGUUUUAGGUUUUAGGUUUGGUUUAGGUUUUGGGUUGGAGUGGAUUUGGAGGGGGGAAGGGAAAAUUUAUGUUAUAAGUCACCAUUGGAGAUGGACUAAUGGAGAUGUUGAUGUUGUUGUGGUGAUGUUUGUUGGUAAGACAAGCCCUCGAAUGGGCUGAGAUAGAGAGAGCCGAGAGAGUGUAAGGGAGAGUGAGGGAAAAGAGAGAAAGAGGAAGACUUUUCAGAAAAAAAAUAAAAAGAAAAAAAAAGAAAAGAAAGGGAAAGGGAACCGGGGGACAAAACAAGGGGUGGGCCCUUGGGCACAUCAUUUAAGACCCAAAAAUCAUUUUAAAAGCAAGAUAAUCUCAAACCUAGUGAAAAUACAAUUUAAAUUAGGAAUAAGUGUAACACUUUAGCUUGAGGGGGUGUGUUAAGGAUACAAUAGGAGUACCAGUCAAUGAUGUACCUGAAUAAGAACUUACUUAGCUGUUAAGCUAUGAUUGCUAUUUAUACUUGUUGUACACACAGUUUGGAAUGAAUGAAAUAGACUCAUUUUCUCCACAACAACUUCUCUCUCUAAGUUUCUCUCACUACAAUUCUCUCUCUACUCCUAGCAUUUCUCUCACAGAGCAAUGAGUUUCUACAACAAGUUUGUUCUUUCAAUCCUGCAAUCCUGGUACAAUCUUGCAGGUUGAUGAUCAGCAACAAUCCUUACUCCACAACAGGCGCUAUUUCCUCAGUCUUCGGGAAUUCCAUCAAAGAACGUAUACGAAAGCCCAUGAAUAUGAUACUUUUUCUCCAGUAAAUCCAGAUCGGGAAUCUCCCCAGGAAUGUCAUACAAAACAUCAACCACCUCCGUCGUCUUCUUCUUCGUCUCCUUUUUCUUCUUCUCCUUCCUCUUCGUCUCCUUUUUACCUGCUGUUGAAGAAGUCGACGAUGAUUUUUUUACCUUUUCACCACAAGAAAACGACGAGCCAAUUUCUUUCUUGAUAACAAUAUUCUCACCAACAAGUUUCUCCUGGUUUUUCUGAUCUUUUAUUAUCUCGUGGGCGAUCUCAACUUCUUUUUGUUUACGACCAUUAGUAACUGGUGGAGUAUAAUCAUCAUCGCUCGAAAACUCCGUGGGAUCCGGCGCUGCUGCUCUCUCUUCUUGUUUUCUCUUCUGUCGAAGGCUGUAGUCACUUUUCGUGCCGUCGUUGGUGGCAGCGGUGGUGAUGUUGAGCUGCGGUGGAGGGGCGUUGGGAAGGGAGAGAGUAAAUGCUACUUCUUCCUCCUUAUCUCUCGUGCCUGCCCUUUUGGUGGUGGUCUGGAGAGGCGAUGGAGGGGCGUUGGGAGCGCACAUAUUAAGCACUACUUCUCUCGGCUUCUCUAUCGUGCCUGCCCUUUUGGUGGUGGGGUGGACCUGCGGUGGAGGGGCGUUGGGAGCAGAGUGAGCAAGCACUACUUCUUUCGGCUUGUCUCUCCUACCUGCCCUUUUGGUGGUGGCGGAGCGGAGAUGCGGCGGAGGAAGGGCACUGGGAGCCGCGAGAGCAAGCACCACUUGUCUCAGCGGCAUCUCUCUCGUUUUUCGGUUUCUCGAGUGGGAGUUGCUUGAUCCCUCCAUGAGUCCUGAGUGUUUCGUUUCACAAGGUACGUAUAUGAAAAAUGGUCAAUGUUAGAGAGAGAAAGUAGAAAGAGAAAGAAAGUAGCAAGUGUAGUCCAUGUAAAAGAACUCAACAGUAUCGUUGUAAGCGCCGUCGCGUUCAGUUACGUGGGCCUCGGCAGGACACCACCCCUCCACUCGCGUCUGAAAAUCGUCCUCCCAUCUCUUUAAAUAAAAAAUCCCAAACCUUUCUGUAAUCUCUUUCUCUCUCUCUCUCUCUCUCUCUCUCUCUCUCUCUCUCUCUCUCUCCCCUCCUUUGUCUCUUUGAAAUUCGAAAACCCUAGAAAAAAUUUGUCAGUAUGAGCUAAAUCAAUCUUCUAAUGGUGUGAUUCUUUGCGAUGCGCAUAUAUAUAUAUAGGCAGUGAGAUCGUUUCUUGUAUAUAUAUAAGAGGAAUGCAAAGUUGGUGCUUUAUACGUUUUCCUGCCUUAUCUGGAAAUUUUCUCGAACGCGGAUGUGUAGAUGGCUAAUUUCCAGAAGCCUCACUUUAUGGAAUUUUCCACAAGUAUUUCCAAAUAAUGAAAGAAAUGUCCUUUUUAAUGGAAAAUCAAUAAAAAUCUUAGACAAAUAUAAUAAAACUAACUUAGCUUCUCAAUUUGAGUAGAAGUUUUGAAUUUCCUAUGUGGUCGAUUUACGAGACUUCAUACUUAUAAUCAGAACUGUUUAUAUUGUAAAUAACUAUGUAAAGAUCAUAUGUGUAAAAAACUAAUAAAUUAUGAGAUCGUUCAGUUAUUGAAUUGUAUAAAAACUUCACUUUUAUGGAGCAAAACUCUUCUAGAAAUAUUAUUUGUCAUAAAAUAGUUUUAUAAUAUUAACAAUGAAUAAAUUAAUAUUUUGUGCUUUUAAAAGAAGGUGAAUUCAAUCUUAAUAUUUUUUAUAUUGUUGCAGCUUAGUCAAAAAGGCAAUAUGGUGUUUCCCUCUGCCUCAAAUCCUCAAGUAAUUUAAUUUACAAUAAUACUAGGGAGACUAAAUUUGUAAACUAAAUUUUAAAAACUGAGGGCACUAGUACAAAAACAUACUUGAGCGGCGGAGAAAAUUGCGUCGCGCAAAGUAUGUUUGCGCAACGGUGACAACAAAACGUCAUCCAAAGGCAUUUUGCGCAACGAAACUUUGAGCGACUAAGAUCUCUGUCGCGCAAAACAGCGCACGACGAAGUCGUCGUGCAAUGUUAGGGAAAAAGCGAUAAAAGUCUUGGUUUGACGCCAAAAUCUUGCACGACGCACAGGUGUGUCGUGCAAACGUCCUUUGCACGAUGAAGGUGUGCAUUCAUUUCGUAAACCUUGUAGUCACAGACCCUGCGCGACGGUUUGCACGCGACGAAGAUGUCGUUAGGCAAAUUUUCAGACAACGUUUUUUGACUUUGCGCAACGAAGGCACCUGCGUCGCACAACUGUUUUUUGUACUAGUGAAGACAUGAAAGUUAAUGAUUGGUUUAUUACUUAAGUGUUGAUAAACGUGUUCAUUCCUAUUGGUGGCACAUCAUUUAGUUUGCAAUUUAGUCUCCAAAUUUAAUCUUCCUAACAUUACCCAUUAGUUUAAUUUGUAUAAAUGAUUUUAUUUUUUGCCAAAAGAAAAGUUGUUUUUUUUCAUAAAAAAUGAUAUCUAAAACUACAUUAAUGAAACACUCUUUGUCAACUAAAAGAAUGUGAAAAGACAUCUUUGUCUUCUACCACAACAAAAAAGUUAAAGACAGUAACAUAAUUUUACAAAACAAAAUUUUGUUGUUUUUACCUGUCCUUUUGGUGGUGGCGGAGCGGAGAUGCGGAGGAGGAAGGGCACUGGGAGCCGCGAGAGCAAGCACCACUUGUCUCAGCGGCAUCUCUCUCGUUUUUCGGUUUCUCGAGUGGGAGUUGCUUGAUCCCUCCAUGAGUCCUGAGUGUUUCUUUUCACAAGGUAAGUAUAUGAAAAAUGGUCAAUGUUAGAGAGAGAAAGAAAGCAGCAAGUGCAGUCCUUGCAAAAGAACUCAACGGUAUUGUUGUAAGCGCCGUCGUUCUUAGCGUUCAGUUAGGUCGGCCUCGGCAGGGCACCAACCACGGCGUCCUUGCCUCCACUCGCGUCUGAAAAUCAUCCGCCCAUCUCUUUAAAUCAAAAAUCCCAAACCCUUCUGUAAUCUCUCUCUCUCUCUCCCCCCUCCUUUGUCUCUUUGAAAUUCGAAAACCCUAGAAAAAAAUUGUGAGUAUGAGCUAAAUUUGUAAGUAUGAUUCUUUGCGAUGCGCAUAUAUAUAUAUAUAUAUAGGCUAGGCAGUGAGAUCGUUUCUUGCAUAUAUAUAGGGGAACCAAACCUGGUGCAUUAUACGUUUUCCUGCCCUAUCUGGAAAUUUUAUCGACCGCGGAUGGGUGGAUGGGUAAUUUCACGAAGCCUCACUUUAUGGUUAUAUUCUUAACCUGCUGCCUUAUCUGGAAAUUUUCUUGAACGCGUAUGGGUAGAUGGCUAAUUUCACGAAUGAAUAUAUUCUUAACCUCAUGGAAAUAUUCUUACUAUUAUUUAUACUAGGGAAAUUUUAUUUAAACCUAUUUAACCUCUUUUUACACUCAACUUAAAUUUUAAAUGUUAAUUGUUUAUUUUACCCUAUUGCAUAAUUACUAUUAAGUACAAAAUGAGAUUAAUAAUAAAACUCAAAUUUAUCAUUAAACUCAAACACUAUAAUUAAACCUACGAUCAUUCUUUGUUUAUCCUACGUUUAUUCUAGCUAAAACCCUAAUAGUUGUCAUAGAGAAAAAUAAGUUUUGUUAUUGAUGGAUGCUGAUUUUGAAGUUUUGAAUCCUCCAACCAAGUUAUGAUUCAAUUUAUAAAUUUUUUGUUCGUUUGAUUUCAAUUUAUGAAUUGGCAAACCAUGAGUUGCAAUUAGAAAACCAUGAUCUGACUUCGAUACGAUCAACAAUUUCAUUAGCCUUAAUUGCAAUUAGAAAACUAUACGAUUCUGCUUGUUUAUCCUACGUUUAUUCUAGCUAAAACCCUAAUAGUUGUCAUAGAGAAAAAUAAGUUUUGUUAUUGAUGGAUGGUGAUUUUGAAGUUUUGAAUCCUCCAACCAAGUUAUGAUUCAAUUUAUAAAUUUUUUGUUCGUUUGAUUUCAAUUUAUGAAUUGGCAAACCAUGAGUUGCAAUUAGAAAAAAACCAUGAUCUGACUUCGAUACGAUCAACAAUUUCAUUAGCCUUAAUUGCAAUUAGAAAACUAUACGAUUCUGCUUGUUUAUCCUACGUUUAUUCUAGCUAAAACCCUAAGGGUGCGUUUGUUGCAUCGGACUGUCCCGGACUGGACUAGCUGCAUGGACUAAGCUGGACUGGCUUAGACUAGACUAAGCUGGACUAGCUUAGUGAAGCGUUUGAUGCAGUGUCGGACUAAGAAGCAGGAUAAUUAAAAAAGUACUGUUACCAAUUUGAUGUUUGCUUAUAUUAUGACUACAUUAUUGUUCUAUUUUAAUUACUUUUUAUAUUAAAGAUAUUAUUAAAAUUAAUAAUAUUGGAUUAGAGUGAGACUCAAUAAAAAUAUAAAAACCAAAUAUUCUUGCCAAUGAAAGAAACAUACAUGAUUCAGGAAGCGUUUGUUGUACCGGACUUUCUCGAAUUGGACUAAGUUAGACUGACUUGACUUAGACUAAGCUGGAUAAGAAUAGUGGAGUGUUUAGAGUUCAAAACUUCUUUUGUCAUUCAUUAAUUCAUUUUACUAUAUUAUUAAUACACCUUUUUUAUCUUAAAAAAAAAACAAAAUACAACUAUUUUUUAUUUGACUUCAGGAAGCGUUUGUUGUACCGGACUUUCUCGAAUUGGACUAAGUUAGACUGACUUGACUUAGACUAAGCUGGAUAAGAAUAGUGGAGUGUUUAGAGUUCAAAACUUCUUUUGUCAUUCAUUAAUUCAUUUUACUAUUAUUAAUACACCUUUUUUAUCUUAAAAAAAAAAACAAAAAUACAACUAUUUUUAUUUGACUCUCUCUCUCCCCCCCCCCCUCCGUCUCUCUCCCCUGUCUCUCUUUUCUUCAUUCAUUUGCUUUGGUUCUUCACGCCCAGAUUCACUCUCAGUAAAACUCAAACCAGAAAAUAUAAAACCCACAUUUUUCCUUCUUUGCAUUUGCUUUCUCUUGAAUUCAAACCUAUAUUUUUCUUCUUUUAAUUUACUUACUUUCUCUUCAAAUCAAACCCAGAAAAAUCCCCAAUUUUUUUUUUUCAAUUUGCAGAGGCUUCGUCGGAUCGUCGGAUCUGCAAAUUCAUUUCAAUCGACCUCUCCAAAUCAACGUCAAUCGAUCUUGCAGAAGAAAGAGACAAACUUGCUGGCACAUCUUCUCUUGGCAAACUCGAGUAGGGCGUGACAGUUGGUGCGGGAUUUGGAAGAAGAAGCAAGUUGAGGAAGACAAAGACAAAGUGAGUUGAGGAAGACGAAGACCAAGCAAACGAAGCGAAGCGAUGGUCUUAGGAAUCCCAUCCUUUUUGGGCGGUCUCGCUAAGACCGGUUAGUGAAGAGUUUAGUCGGCAUGAGUCCGACGUAGUCCCAUUAAACACAAUCCUGGCUCGCACCAAACACGGGAUUAAUAUUCUUAGUAAGCCAGUCCAAUCCAGUGAUACUUAGUGAGUGCAAACAAACACGCCCUAAUAGUUGUCAUAGAGAAAAAUAAGUUUUGUUAUUGAUGGAUGGUGAUUUUGAAGUUUUGAAUCCUCCAACCAAGUUAUGAUUCAAUUUAUAAAUUUUUUGUUCGUUUGAUUUCAAUUUAUGAAUUGGCAAACCAUGAGUUGCAAUUAGAAAACCAUGAUCUGACUUCGAUACGAUCAACAAUUUCAUUAGCCUUAAUUGCAAUUAGAAAACUAUACGAUUCUGCUUGUUUAUCCUACGUUUAUUCUAGCUAAAACCCUAAUAGUUGUCAUAGAGAAAAAUAAGUUUUGUUAUUGAUGGAUGGUGAUUUUGAAGUUUUGAAUCCUCCAACCAAGUUAUGAUUCAAUUUAUAAAUUUUUUGUUCGUUUGAUUUCAAUUUAUGAAUUGGCAAACCAUGAGUUGCAAUUAGAAAACCAUGAUCUGACUUCGAUACGAUCAACAAUUUCAUUAGCCUUAAUUGCAAUUAGAAAACUAUACGAUUCUGCUUGUUUAUCCUACGUUUAUUCUAGCUAAAACCCUAAGAGUGCGUUUGUUGCAUCGGACUGUCCCGGACUGGACUAGCUGCAUGGACUAAGCUGGACUGGCUUAGACUAGACUAAGCUGGACUAGCUUAGUGAAGCGUUUGAUGCAGUGUCGGACUAAGAAGCAGGAUAAUUAAAAAAGUACUGUUACCAAUUUGAUGUUUGCUUAUAUUAUGACUACAUUAUUGUUCUAUUUUAAUUACUUUUUAUAUUAAAGAUAUUAUUAAAAUUAAUAAUAUUGGAUUAGAGUGAGACUCAAUAAAAAUAUAAAAACCAAAUAUUCUUGCCAAUGAAAGAAACAUACAUGAUUCAGGAAGCGUUUGUUGUACCGGACUUUCUCGAAUUGGACUAAGUUAGACUGACUUGACUUAGACUAAGCUGGAUAAGAAUAGUGGAGUGUUUAGAGUUCAAAACUUCUUUUUGUCAUUCAUUAAUUCAUUUUACUAUUAUUAAUACACCUUUUUUAUCUUAAAAAAAAAACAAAAUACAACUAUUUUUAUUUGACUUCAGGAAGCGUUUGUUGUACCGGACUUUCUCGAAUUGGACUAAGUUAGACUGACUUGACUUAGACUAAGCUGGAUAAGAAUAGUGGAGUGUUUAGAGUUCAAAACUUCUUUUGUCAUUCAUUAAUUCAUUUUACUAUUAUUAAUACACCUUUUUUAUCUUAAAAAAAAAACAAAAUACAACUAUUUUUAUUUGACUCUCUCUCUCCCCCCCCCCCCCCCCCCCGUCUCUCUCCCCUGUCUCUCUUUUCUUCAUUCAUUUGCUUUGGUUCUUCACGCCCAGAUUCACUCUCAGUAAAACUCAAACCAGAAAAUAUAAAACCCACAUUUUUCCUUCUUUGCAUUUGCUUUCUCUUGAAUUCAAACCUAUAUUUUUCUUCUUUUAAUUUACUUACUUUCUCUUCAAAUCAAACCCAGAAAAAUCCCCAAUUUUUUUUUUCAAUUUGCAGAGGCUUCGUCGGAUCGUCGGAUCUGCAAAUUCAUUUCAAUCGACCUCUCCAAAUCAACGUCAAUCGAUCUUGCAGAAGAAAGAGACAAACUUGCUGGCGCAUCUUCUCUUGGCAAACUCGAGUAGGGCGUGACAGUUGGUGCGGGAUUUGGAAGAAGAAGCAAGUUGAGGAAGACAAAGACAAAGUGAGUUGAGGAAGACGAAGACCAAGCAAACGAAGCGAAGCGAUGGUCUUAGGAAUCCCAUCCUUUUUGGGCGGUCUCGCUAAGACCGGUUAGUGAAGAGUUUAGUCGGCACGAGUCCGACGUAGUCCCAUUAAACACAAUCCUGGCUCGCACCAAACACGGGAUUAAUAUUCUUAGUAAGCCAGUCCAAUCCAGUGAUACUUAGUGAGUGCAAACAAACACGCCCUAAUAGUUGUCAUAGAGAAAAAUAAGUUUUGUUAUUGAUGGAUGGUGAUUUUGAAGUUUUGAAUCCUCCAACCAAGUUAUGAUUCAAUUUAUAAAUUUUUUGUUCGUUUGAUUUCAAUUUAUGAAUUGGCAAACCAUGAGUUGCAAUUAGAAAACCAUGAUCUGACUUCGAUACGAUCAACAAUUUCAUUAGCCUUAAUUGCAAUUAGAAAACUAUACGAUUCUGCUCAACCUUGGUUGUUUCCAGUUUCUCUCAUUGUCAAUUCCGGCAUCUAGAAAUGACUGAAGAGUACGGGAAGGACAACUUAAUCACACAAAGUGAAGCCUUUCUCAAUCAAGUAGUUCUUUGACAUUGCAAGGACUCUCUAAAGGCACUUCAAACUUGUGAUGACACUCUCCCUUAUGCUGAAGAACUCAACAUUCCAAAAAGGUGCAUGGAAUCACUUGCCACAAAAGCAUCUACUGAUCCUAAUUUGUUUGGGUGGCCUGUCAAGGAGCAUGGCGGCCCCAUGCAAAGUCCUGGUGGGAGUGUCCUGUGGAAUGGAUUAAGUACGGGGGCCAGACUAAAGAAAUCAAGUUCAGUUUACAGGAGGAGCUUCCUCCCAUCAAAUUUAGCUUCUAAAAAUCAAAUGAGUGUAAAAAUAAAUUCACAUAUUGAAUUGGGUUUAUGUGGGUAUAUUAGGUAUUAAAUUUGGGUUUAAAAAGAUAUUAAUAGUUUAGUUAAAAAUCAAAUGGGUGCAAAGAGUAAGUUGGAUGUAGAAAUAGGUUAGAUGAGUUUAAAUAAAAUUUCCCUUUAUACUAUUCCUCUAAUAAUGAUGAGUCAUUUGAAUCGAUGGGUCCUACCUCUAUUAGAGAGAUGAUACAAAUAAAUCAUAAGUUUUUCUUUUUGGUUUAUUAUAAGUUUAGCACCAUUGUUUCAUCAAUAGCAUUAUGAACUCCAUUGGCUCCACAUUUUUCUUUUCAAAUGCUAAGCAAUUCCGAGACUUCCAAAUUCUCCACAAGCCAAAUACCACCCAUUUUAGAUCUCUCCAGAUCUUCCUCUUUUUCAUAAUGGUCUAUGAGCCAUUCCCAACAUUCAAAAAAAUCACCUCCCUACACCAAGGUAGAAUCUCAUUGAAUAGGUGCCCCAAACCAAAAGAUCCGUGCAAACGGGUAUUGAAAGAACAUUUGACGUUGGGUUUCAUCUGCAACACCACAAGUCAGGCAAGUAGUAGCAAGACGAAUACCUCGAUGUUGAAGAUUCAUUUUAACCGCCAAAAUAUCUUUACAACCCAUCCAAAUGAAAUGUCGUAGUUUAUUUGGGACAUCCAACUUCUAUAUGUUUGACCAUAUCUUACUCCGGUCUUGUCCCACACUCGACUUCCCCCCGACCUUUUCGUCCAACCCUUUUCCCACUUGGAUUUGUAAACCCUUAAUCCCUAAUUUACUCUCUCUUUAAUCCUUUUGGAUUAAAUUAAAACACGGAUCUGGGUGGGCCUGACAAUUUCUGACACGACCUAUUAACCCGACACGAAACGACACAAAAUUAAUAGGUUUUUUGGUCGACACGAUAAGGAAUCAGGUCGUUAUCUAGUAACCCGAUAAGCACCUACUAAGAUAACGGAUCAAUCCAGUUAUACACGUGAGUAACCCGUUACAUGAUAAGAAAAUAUUAAUUUAAUAAUUUUAUACAUCUAAAAAUAAAACUAUAACUAACAGCAGGAUAACAAAUUGAAAGUUCAAAUAUAAAUACAUCUAUAUAUAUUAAAUUUAGAAAAUUGAUGAUCGUUGGAUCUCGACCGUCUAAUGUUUUUCUUAGCCCUAAGUCAAACUCUCUCUCGAACUGAACUCUCGAAUCUCAAUGUCAAACCUCAACUCCGACCAGCCACAAAUCUACAACCACCCUCUCCGAUCUCCCUCCAUCACACCACUGUCACCACAUACAACCUAGUAACCCACCACCAGCUGAUCUGCUACUUUUAUCUCUGAUUCUCUCUUUGGAUCGAGCGAAUCUUCUUAAGACAUUUUGUGGCAAUGUUAAGAUAUUUUAAAGCAAUAUUUAUGUGAAAAUGUGGCUGUGCAAAUUUUUAAAACAAAUUUUCAAACCAAAUGAUAUAUCACCGAUAAGAAAUUAACACUUAAGUAAUAAUCUAAUCAUCAACUGGCACAUCAAUUGGUUUAAAAAAUUAGUUUAAAAAUUUGGUCUCCCUAACAUUAUCCAAAUCUAAUACAACUUCCGUUCACAAGCCUGCAAAUACCUUCCAGUUCAAGGCAAUAAAUUAGCAACCAAAGUUAAGAGAAACCAAAAUAAGAUCAAACCUCAUAUAUUUCUUUUUCUCAUAACAAGUAAAAAACCUUCCCUGUUUAUAUGUCUCUAAUUUGUAUCCCUUUAGGAAUAGAGGCUAAACCUACAGAGAAAAAGAUACACAAGACAAAGCACCUCCUCAUCAUCUGUACUCUUGUGGCAAGCGAUAUCCCGGCAUUACGACCUUGUCAGCGAACAUUUUGCCCGUCUUGGGCAUGACGUGCCAGUGCAAUGUCAAGUUGAAUUCUUUACCCCGGAGAUUGGUUCCCUACACAAAGAUGAAUUACAAAGAGAGUCAGUUAUCGAUGGAGCCAAGAAACUACAACAGAUCUUAGUCUCUGAUGAAGCCAAGAAACAGAUGCAAAGAAUGAAAGAGACUGCUCGUACCUGAUCAAUGAAGCGGUACUUGUUUGAAGUAUGAAUCCAAAACUUGGCAUGUUCUUUGGUUGGUAAGAUACCAUCCCAAAGAGAGAUCUGUAAAAUAGUGUUAAAACUUUAAGCAAAGACUUAUUUAAGCAAUAACUAAAGCACUGUGCAGCCUACAAGCCCUAGAAGAUACUAUAGAGUGGAUAUGCGGAUCCGAGGGACACAUACAAGCAAAAUAAAUGGAAGAACAGUUAUUCAGUGAAAGAGAAGAGUUGUUAAUCUCAAUUUUUUACCUUAAGAAAAGCAAAAUCGAAACAUAUAACUAACCAGAAAUAUAACUUGAAACAUAUAUGUGCAGAUACCUGAUUCAGUGAGUUCUUUGGGGUUCCAUACUCAGCGGCUAGAAAAACAAAAACCUGUCAUGUAUUGCAGAUAAAGUAAAAGGGAUCAGGGUACUGGCUGGAAAAUAAAGAGACCGAAUUUUCUAAUUGUGGUAUGCACAACUUAAAUUUCACCAGACCCUAUAAAAUAAAGGAAAACUAAUGAAAAGGGUUUGAAAACUUUGAGUUUUAAUGAUAAGGACAAAAUAAAGGGUAAAGUGAAUAGUACCAGAAUUGACUUUUUAGUGUAAAAAUGUGGUUUUUCGUUAAAGUGAACAGUACCGGGUGCUUUUCAUUAAAGUUCCCAUAAAAUAAUGCAGUCAACCAUGCCAACAAAAACCGUUUCUCAACACAAAUGGUAGGUUUUGAAUUUUGGUUGGUGCUUCUAGUCCUAUGCAUGAUAGUUGCCAUCACUCUCUAAAAAAUCAUUAUCAUAGAGUUCCGCACAGUGUACCCAAAGACUACUUAACGCAUGCACAGAAUAUACUAAAAUAAUUUAAGUGAUCAUGAAUGCUAACACAUACACACACAAAUUUGUGAAAUUGCAAACCUGCUUUGUAUUCCAUGUAAACAAUGACUGCAAGUCUGCUGAUAUAUUCAUAGUCAUGCUGACCUGCAUAAAACGAAAAUCAUUUUAGUUCAUACCAAACUGUGAUUCAUUCGUACACAUAAUCUUCCUUUUUCAAUCACCCAACUAUCAUGGUCACUAUAAAUCAAAGAAGCAAAUCCGAAGUUCAUGAUUCAAAGUGUAACCAACGGAAAUAGGACAACAGUUCAAGAACCUAGGGAGCAGUUGAAUUGCUGCCAGUCAGUUUACUAUAACUUUCAGCUCUAGCAAAUGCCCUCGUAUUUUAUUUUACCUGCUUUCCUAUUGGUAGAGGAAUCACUUAAAUAAAUAUUGUGAGCUCAGCUCAUGCCCUGUAGACGUGUAACUAUCUGUCAGUACUCUGAGGUUGCACCCAAUCUCUAGACCCACCCCAGCCCAGAUAAAUAAACCUUAAUAUUAACUACGCAAAUAGAAUGUUAUACCUUAUCUACUUAAAAGUUCAAGCCAAAAUUGGGAAAGAGAAAUGUUAGGCGUCAACACGGAAACAAUCCCGUCCCAAUUGGAAUGAUCCCACUCUGUUCUCUUAUAUCCCGUCCCAAACCUCAACACGGAAACUACCACCUAUAAUUUGACUAUAGGCCUCCAUUUUGACUGAGGAGCAUACCAAAAUACCACACUUUUACAAGUUUUUAAGACAGUGAUACAACUACUUAAUCAGUAAUUUAGUUAUAAACCCAUAAGCCAAUGGGCUCGCACCAACAUGUCAGAAAGGGGUGAUUAAACUCUCUACGGAUCCUAAUACUACCGUUGUAUUAACCCAACCUUCAAUUCACAAAAUGCAUACCUAGAUCAAAUUCACAUAUCAUGUACUGAAACUAAAACACAAAACCAGGAAAUUUAGCACCGAAACCUGCAUACCCACACACAACCUACACACACACAGCACAUGCCCAUGAAAAUUUGAUACAGAAAAUAAACACAAAAGCCCAAAGUACCAAUCUUUAAACUGGAUUAAUCAAAUACUAUCCAGAGACUCAGUAUAAUCGAAAUUCAGUGAACACCCAUUUCAGCCAAUAAAAAAUUGAAUUCAAAUUCAAAGAAAUUUCACAUAUAACCCAAAAACUACAAAUCCAAUUAUUAAAAAAAAAAAAAUUGAAAGAAAUGCACCUCGUCGUUCCCGUUCAGUUGCUUCUGCAACCAAUUAAUAUUCAGCACCUAGAGAAAAACCCAACAAGCAUAUCAGAAACAAAAUCCAACUGGGUAUUUAAAUUCGAACCCAAAAAUCAAAAUUUUUUGAAAUCGUAGAUCUGCCCCACAGAGAGAGCGAGAGAACCUGGACUUGCGUAGUGGGAGUGGGGUGGUUGAGAUUAUCGGAGAUGGAGGCCAUGGCGCACAUCAGUGCCAAAAUUGUAACUGCGAAGGUCAGCAGAGCAUUGGCUCUGUACCCGAACGAAUGCAUUUUCCUACCUUCUUUCUUUAUUUCUGGGAUUUUUUUUUCUUGGAUUUCUGCUUCGUCUGGUUUUGGUCCGAGAAAGAAAAAUGUGUGCGCUUUUUGUGGGUUUUGAAGAGACGAAGACUUCAGAGGUCUUUAUAAUAAAACACAUGUAGAGAUCAGAGAGAAUGUGAACUUUUGCUAUACCGCUCAGUCAUUGGACAAGACACGUCGGUGGGGCCCAUUGUCUUCUAAUAAAUUAAGAAUUUUAACGAAAACUUCUGUUAAUGUUUACGAAAAAUCAUAUUUUUACAUUAAAAAAUCAAUAUUAGUACUAUUCAUUUUACUUUUUAUUUUAUCCUUAUCGUUAAAAUUUAAAGUUUUUAAUCUAUUUUAAUUAAUUUUCCUUAAUAAAUUAACACAUGUUUUAUUGUUUUGAAAAGUAAGAAAUACGUCAUUAAUUUUGUCCAAUAAUAAAUUAAAACAUGUUUUAUUGUUUUGAAAAGUAAGGAAUAUGUGACUUUUUUUUUAUUAGGUCAAAUUCGAAAGUGAGUGUAUAAAAUAUUCACAAAUCAGUACCUAAGUAUUAUCUAAUAUUGCGUUCAUAUACCAUUGAUACUGAGAGACAGUAAAAUUGAACUCCAACCUCAGACCUAGAAGUAAUGUUCUUAAUUAAUUGAGCUAAAAGUACUAUGCAAAUAAUAUGAGAAUGAAAAAUAAAUACUAAAUUCUAAAAUUUGAAUUUUGCUCAUAAAAACAUUUGAAUUAACUGUAAAAAUAUUAUAUUAUACUCGCCCUCCUCAUAAAAUUACAAGGUAGAACUGUAUUUUCAAAGAAUACAUGUUUUUACUAAUAACUCAGUUUUCUUUGCGUUAUGGAGGAGUGCAUGAUGAUGGUUUUAUUUAUAUUGAAGUAAGUAAAUCGAACCUUAAAGCUUAUCUUAUUUUUGUAUAUUUAUGUUUAUUUUUAUCUCUUAAUAGUUUUAAAUUUAUUUGAUUUAAAGAUAAAGAGGAAAAUAAUAAUAGAAAAAAAAAAAGAAGAAGAAGAAAAUUAAUGAAAAUGGCUUGAAAACUUUGAGUUUUAAUCAAAAGGACAAAAAUGUGUUGUAAGUGAAUAGUACCAGAAGUGACUUUUUAGAAUAAAAAUGUUCUUUUCGUUAAAAAAGAACAGUACCAUGAGUGUUUCGUUAAAACUUCCAAAAAAUAAAGAAUAACAAGGCUCUUUGGGCUCUUCAAGUGAAGGCUGCCCUUAACUGGCUUACAAAAAUGAUAUAUAGCCCAACAACAAACUUAACCAGAGACAAGCCUAGGCCUGGCAAACACCAUACACUUGAUUUUGUUCUAGGUGAACAACGUUAUGGACCCAGAGACAAGAGUGUAGAGUUAAAACACUACCUGGUGCUAUAACCUUCGUCACCACAAAAAGACGUAUAUAGUGUUAAACAAUGUGGCACUGUAAUCGUUGUCACACUAAAAAAUUGUUGUCGUCACACCAAAAAGGGCCUAGGGUAUAUAGUGUUAAACAAUGUGUCAUUGUAAUUGUCGUCAUCACAAGAGAAAAUUGUUGUUUCUUUUUAUGUUGGAAUGAUAUUUUUAAUCUAAUUUAUACUGGAGAAAGAUAGAUUCAAAUUUGAGUGUAAAAAAAGGAGCACACUACUAUUUGCAACUUGACGUCAACAAUCUUUCAAUCCGGAAAAUUGUUAGAAAUAUGAAAUUGGAGUUUGAAUCCAUCUAAGAAUACCAAGCAUGAAUGAGUUUGAGUUGGUACCAAGAAGAAGACAUGAACAAAUAAUUAACAAAGUUUUAUUUAUCCAGUCCCUUAAUAUAGACGAGACUGCGUACACCAAAGCACAAAGCUUCACAUUUUACAUAGACUUUAUUUGAUCAACAUACACAAACACCCUCAGAUAGAUCACCUCUCACAAGGGAGAUCAUAAUUUAUGGCUCAUCGGUGGAUUCAGUAGAUUCUUCAGCACCAGUGGAGGAUUUGCCAAAGUUGAAGUUGGAACAACUAGUCCUGCGGGACAACAACGAAGAGCUAAAUCCCAACCUUGAGUUCGUCAAAUCAAACUGCAGCAGAUUAUCCUCCAACUGGAGUGCUCCGAUCACGAUCGAAGCCUGAGGCCUCAACCCACCGUCCACAAACCCUAGACACGCCACGUUGGGACUUGGCUGAACGAUAACGUUAUGACCAUACAGCCUCCAGAUGUUCCGGUUGUUGUCUAGAACAAGGUCUAUGCUAGAAACCGUAAGCGCUGCCUUGUUGCUGGCAAAUUUCUUCGCAUCGAAACACACCCCGAAUGGCGCCAUGGGCUUCACUUGGGGUACCCCUUGGAGCUGAUUGAUGAGGAGCUGAGUGACUGCCCUAAAGAUAGAGGUUUGGAGGAUUGUGUAGGGAGUUGUGGUGCUGAUCAUUGUCCCACCAACCCCUCGUUUUGGUGAGUAGGGCAAGAGAGAGGUGUUGAGUGGAACCACCUUGUUGUUGAUUUUGAUGGAUUGAACGUUUAUGUAGUACUCUCCUUGCCUGCCUAUGGUCAGUGGGGUGUAGGUCAACUUGCGCGACACGUCGAUGCCCCGGUUCAUGAGAUAGGGUCCUUCCCCGAAGAAAUGACGCCAUUCUGGCCAGGUGCAGAAGGGAGGCACACGGCAAAUUUUGCUGGAAAGCCAAAGUGGGAGGCUAGUUGGUAGGGUAGGGAAAUUGAGGAGUGGCCUAGGCCAGCAAAACCUUGAACAUUUUUGGGUAGCCCUUUUUGCAUAAUAUUUGAAGGUGCACAUGCAAAGAGGAAUUGAGGGACUUGGACCAUUGGGCCAGGGCUCGAGCCUUGG
rnacentral:lncRNA from 1 species